UACAGAGGUCUCGAGCGUUGUUCGGAUUCAUUGGGCGUAAAGGGCGCGUAGGCGGCGGUGCAAGUCGGGUGUGAAAUCUCAGAGCUCAACUCUGAAACUGCACUCGAUACUGCUUUGCUUGAGGACUGGAGAGGAGAUUGGAAUUCACGGUGUAGCAGUGAAAUGCGUAGAUAUCGUGAGGAAGACCAGUGGCGAAGGCGAAUCUCUGGACAGUUCCUGACGCUGAGGCGCGAAGGCCAGGGGAGCAAACGGG
rnacentral:rRNA from 1 species